GUUAACGCUGGCGGCGUGCUUAACACAUGCAAGUCGAACGAUGAAGCCCAUCUUGCUGGGUGGAAAAGUGGCGAACCGGUUGAGUAACACGUGAGUAAACCUGCCCAUCACUCUGGGAUAAGCGCUGGAAACGGCGUCUAAUACUGGAAUAUGAACAGCGACCGCAUGUUCAGUUGUUGAAAGAUUUAUUGGUGAUGGAUGGACUCGCGGCCUAUCAGCUAGUUGGUUGAGGUAAUGGCUCACCAAGGCGACGACGGGUAGCCGGCCUGAGAGGGUGACCGGCCACACUGGGACUGAGACACGGCCCAGACUCCUACGGGAGGCAGCAGUGGGGAAUAUUGUCACAAUGGGCGCAAGCCUGAUGCAGCAACGCCGCGUGAGGGAUGACGGCCUUCGGGUUGUAAACCUCUUUUAGUAGGGAAGAAGCGCAAGUGACGGUACCUGCAGAAAAAGCACCGGCUAACUACGUGCCACAGCCGCGGUAAUACGUAGGGUGCAACGUUGUCCGGAAUUAUUGGGCGUAAAGAGCUCGUAGGCGGCUUGUCGCGUCUGCUGUGAAAACCCGAGGCUCAACCUCGGGCUUGCAGUGGGUACGGCAGGCUAGAGUGCGGUAGGGGAGAUUGAGAAUUCCUGGUGUAGCGGUGGAAUGCGCAGAUAUCAUGGAGGAACACCAAUGGCCGAAGGCGGAUUCUCUGGACGGUUUCCUGACGCUAAGACGCGAAAGCGUGGGGAGCAAACAGGAUUAGAUACCCUGGUAGUCCACGCCGUAAACGAUGGGUGCUGGACGUUAGGCGAGCUUGCUCCGUCAGUGUCGCAGCUAACGCGUUAAGCACCCCGCCUGGGGAGUUCGGCCGCAAGGUUGAAACUCAAAUGAAUACGG
rnacentral:rRNA from 1 species